UGAGCCGGCCGGGUGGCCGCGGCGUGGUCCGCCACGCUGAGGAAGGUCGGGGCUCCAGAGGACAGGAUGCUGGCUAGCGGCCAGUCGGGGCGACCCGCAGGAAAGUGCCACAGAGAACAGACCGCCGAUGGCCCGGUUCGCCUCCCCUCGGGGCGGGGUGCCGGGCACAGGUGAGGGUGAAACGGUGCGGUAAGAGCGCACCAGCGACCGGGGCGACCCGGGCGGCUAGGC
rnacentral:RNase_P_RNA from 1 species